AUAAAUAAGCGGAGGAAAAGAAACCAAACGGGAUUCCCUUAGUAACGGCGAGCGAAAAGGGAAAUGUCCAGCGCCAAGUCUUGACAUGUAAUGGUGUUCAAGAGAUGCGGCGUUAAUGUAUCGACCCAUCAUGCAUUGUUCCACAUUUCAAGUUCCUACGACCGGGACUUCCAGAGCGGGUGUAAGACCCAUAGAGAUGAGGAACCGGGUGUAUGCUGAGCGAUGCAUUCUAGAGUCAGGUUGCUUGAGAGUGCAGCUUAAAGUCGGUGGUAAACUCCAUCCAAGACUAAAUAYUACAGCGAGACCGAUAGCAAACAAGUACCGUGAGGGAAAGUUGCAAAGCACUUUGAAGAGAGAGUUCAAAAGUACGUGAAACCACUGGGAGGCAAACAGAUGGAACCACGAAGUGUGCGCCUCGGUCGAUUCAAUCAUCACUUUCUAUCAAUUGUAGUUGAUCAGGAUCUUUUCGGAGRUUGAUUCUCUACAAUUCUGACCGAAGGUGUUGGUGCAUUUCGUGCCGGGGAUGCAAAGCCACGUUCAACUAGCGGGUUGGGACGGCUGUAAGAAAGAAUCCGAGAAAGGUGACCGUCAAGUGCUUGCAUUUGACGGCGUUAUAGUCUUGGAUUGGCACCGUCACCUAACAUACUGGUUGAUGGAAAUUCUCCAUUCGGAGUUGAACCAUAUCUGCCUGUGAUUGUUAGUCGAUGUUGCGUAAAGUUCUUUGCGUAUCUUUCGAUGCGAAAAGGCUUUGCAAAAAUGUCGGCUAAUGGUUGCUUGCGUGAUAUGGUGGAACUGUGGCGUGAGUAGGUCGGUCUCCAUCUGACCCGUCUUGAAACACGGACCAAGGAGCCUAUCAUAUACGCGAGUCGCUCGGUCUUGUUUAGGCCUGGGAGGCGUAAUGAAAGUAAAGUUACGAGGCUUCGGCUGCAGUAACGGCUCGCCUACUUUGUUUAUUGGCAAUAUGGCGAAGCUGGAGCGUAUACGAUGGUACCCGAAAGAUGGUGAACUAUGCCUGGGCAAGACGAAGCCAGAGGAAACUCUGGUGGAGGUCUGUAGCGAUUCUGACGUGCAAAUCGAUCGUCAGACCUGGGUAUAGGGGCGAAAGACUAAUCGAACCAUCUAGUAGCUGGUUCCCUCCGAAGUUUCCCUCAGGAUAGCAGGCAUUUAUAAUGUGCAGUCUCAUCCGGUAAAGCUAAUGAUUAGAGGUCUUGGGGUUGAAACGACCUCAACCUAUUCUCAAACUUUAAAUGGGUGAGAUGGUUGACUUUCUUGAUUUGAAGCCAACCAUUUGGAUGCAAAUGCCUAGUGGGCCAUUUUUGGUAAGCAGAACUGGCGCUGUGGGAUGAACCAAACGUCGAGAUAAGGCAUCAAAUGCGUACGCUCAUCAGACCCCAUGAAAGGUGUUGGUUGCUAUAGACAGCAGGACGGUGGCCAUGGAAGUCGGAAUCCGCUAAGGAGUGUGUAACAACUCACCUGCCGAAGCAACUAGCCCUGAAAAUGGACGAUGCUGUAGCGUGGAGCCGAUACUCGACCGUUGUAAUGAWUAUUUGUCAAAUGAGAUAUUACAACGAGUAGGAGGGCCGCAAUGUUAGCAUUGAAGGUGUCCGGCGUAAGCCGGCCUGGAGCUAUCAUUGUU
rnacentral:rRNA from 1 species